rnacentral:tRNA from 1 species
GCCCGGUUAGCUCAAUCGGUAGAGCGUGAGACUCUUAAAAAGAACAUCUCAAGGUUGCGGGUUCGACCCCCGCAUCGGGCU